rnacentral:rRNA from 1 species
AGGGCACCACCAGGAGUGGAGCCUGCGGCUUAAUUUGACUCAACACAGGAAAACUUACCCGGCCCGGACACUGUAAGGAUUGACAGAUUGAGAGCUCUUUCUUGAUUCGGUGGUUGGUGGUGCAUGGCCGUUCAUAGGUGGUGUAUCUUUUUUUUUUUUUUUUUCCGAUAAGAGAUAACCUGGAGCGAUAUUGGAACCCGUGGCUGGGUGUGGGGCGUUUUUUUUUAAACAUUAAAACCAAAUGCCCCCCCCCCGCCCAAAUUUCCCGUUCGGGGGGGUUUUAAAAUUUUUUCCCGGGCCCCCCGCGCCCGGGGGGCAACCCCCCCCCGGGGGGGGCAACCCCGGAAGGGGGGGCUUUUUUGGGUCUCCCCCCGGGGGGGAAAAAGGUUUGGGGCCUCUCCCAAAAGGGGGGGGAAAAAAUUUUAAAGCGCGAGAAUUUUCCCCCCCCAAAAAAGUGGGGGGCCUCACACACACUCUCUUUGGAAAGAGUGAGAGAACCCCCUCUUGCAAAAGAUUUUU